AGUGGCGAACGGGUGAGUAAAGUAUCGGAACGUGCCCAGUCGUGGGGGAUAACGUAGCGAAAGUUACGCUAAUACCGCAUACGAUCUAUGGAUGAAAGCGGGGGAUCGCAAGACCUCGCGCGAUUGGAGCGGCCGAUAUCAGAUUAGGUAGUUGGUGGGGUAAAGGCUCACCAAGCCGACGAUCUGUAGCUGGUCUGAGAGGACGACCAGCCACACUGGGACUGAGACACGGCCCAGACUCCUACGGGAGGCAGCAGUGGGGAAUUUUGGACAAUGGGCGCAAGCCUGAUCCAGCCAUGCCGCGUGCAGGAUGAAGGCCUUCGGGUUGUAAACUGCUUUUGUACGGAACGAAAAGGUUUGGCCUAAUAAGCUGAGCUCAUGACGGUACCGUAAGAAUAAGCACCGGCUAACUACGUGCCAGCAGCCGCGGUAAUACGUAGGGUGCGAGCGUUAAUCGGAAUUACUGGGCGUAAAGCGUGCGCAGGCGGUUAUGUAAGACAGAUGUGAAAUCCCCGGGCUCAACCUGGGAACUGCCUUUGUGACUGCGAGGCUAGAGUACGGCAGAGGGGGGGUGGAAUUCCACGUGUAGCAGUGAAAUGCGUAGAGAUGUGGAGGAACACCGAUGGCGAAAGGCAGCCCCCUGGGCCGAUACUGACGCUCAUGCACGAAAGCGUGG
rnacentral:rRNA from 1 species